rnacentral:rRNA from 1 species
UGGGGAUGCGUCUGAUUAGGCAGUUGGCGGGACAAGGGCCCACCAAACCGACGAUCAGUAGGGGUUCUGAGAGGAAGGUCCCCCACAUUGGAACUGAGACACGGUCCAAACUCCUACGGGAGGCAGCAGUGAGGAAUAUUGGUCAAUGGGCGGAAGCCUGAACCAGCCAAGUAGCGUGCAGGAUGACGGCCCUAUGGGUUGUAAACUGCUUUUGAAGGGGAGUAAAGUGAGUGACUUGUCAUUCAUCGCAAGUACCCUUGGAAUAAGGACCGGCUAAUUCCGUGCCAGCAGCCGCGGUAAUACGGAAGGUCCGGGCGUUAUCCGGAUUUAUUGGGUU